AUUGAACGCUGGCGGCAGGCCUAACACAUGCCAGUCGAGCGGAUGAAGGGAGCUUGCUCCUGGAUUCAGCGGCGGACGGGUGAGUAAUGCCUAGGAAUCUGCCUGGUAGUGGGGGAUAACGUCCGGAAACGGGCGCUAAUACCGCAUACGUCCUGAGGGAGAAAGUGGGGGAUCUUCGGACCUCACGCUAUCAGAUGAGCCUAGGUCGGAUUAGCUAGUUGGUGGGGUAAAGGCCUACCAAGGCGACGAUCCGUAACUGGUCUGAGAGGAUGAUCAGUUACACUGGAACUGAGACACGGUCCAGACUCCUACGGGAGGCAGCAGUGGGGAAUAUUGGACAAUGGGCGAAAGCCUGAUCCAGCCAUGCCGCGUGUGUGAAGAAGGUCUUCGGAUUGUAAAGCACUUUAAGUUGGGAGGAAGGGCAGUAAGUUAAUACCUUGCUGUUUUGACGUUACCAACAGAAUAAGCACCGGCUAACUUCGUG
rnacentral:rRNA from 1 species